rnacentral:tRNA from 1 species
GGCGCCAUCGUCUAACCUGGUUUAGGACAUCAGGUUCUCAACCUGAAGAUCAGGGUUCAAAUCCCUGUGGCGCCA